CCUACGGGAGGCAGCAGUGGGGAAUAUUGGGCAAUGGGCGCAAGCCUGACCCAGCAACGCCGCGUGAAGGAAGAAGGCUUUCGGGUUGUAAACUUCUUUUGUCAGGGACGAAGCAAGUGACGGUACCUGACGAAUAAGCCACGGCUAACUACGUGCCAGAAGCCGCGGUAAUACGUAGGUGGCAAGCGUUAUCCGGAUUUACUGGGUGUAAAGGGCGUGGAGGCGGGACUGCAAGUCAGAUGUGAAAACCACGGGCUAAACCUGUGGCCUGCAUUUGAAACUGUAGUUCUUGAGUACUGGGGAGGCAGACGGAAUUCCUGGUGUAGCGGUGAAAUGCGUAGAUAUUAGGAGGAACACCAGUGGCGAAGGCGGUCUGCUGGACAGCAACUGACGCUGAGGCGCGAAAGCGUGGGGAGCAAACAGGAUUAGAUACCCUUGUAGUC
rnacentral:rRNA from 1 species